UUUACCUAAUAAUUCCAAUCCCCCCCCCCCCCCGCCUCCUCCUCCUGCUUCCUCACCUUCACCUUACCUCCGUCUUCUCCUCAUAGAGGAUAAGGCCUCCAUGGGGAGUCAACAAAGUCUGACACAUCACAUUGAGGCAGGACAAAGGCCCUUCCCCUGUAUCUAGGCCAAGCAAGGAAUCCCUCCAUGGGGAAUAGGCUCCAAAGAGCCAGUUCACUCACUAGGAAUAGAUCCUAGUCCUGCUGCCAGUGGCCCCACAAACUGCUGAACCAUACAACUGCCGCCUGCAUUUAGAGGGCCUAGUUUGGUCCUAUGCAGGUUCACCUGCUGUCAGUCCAGAGUCAGUGAGCUCCCACUAGCUCUGGCCAGUUGUUUCUGUGGGUUUCCCCAUAAUGAUCUGGAUGUAGGUUCCAUUUAUCUCAACCAUCCCAUUCCCUAAAGUUCUUCUUGCCAACCUACUUCUGCCCUCUUCCUUUCUUUCUAUCACCCCUCAUGCUCCCAAUUUACUAAAGAGAUCUUAUCUAUUUCCUCUUUCCAGGGGGAUCCAUAUAUAUCUCUCUUAGGGUCCUCUUUGUUAUAUAGCUUUUCUGUGGUUGUGGAUUGUGUUCUGGUUAUCUUUUGCUUUAUGUCUAAUAUCCACACAGACCUCAAACACACUUUCCCAUUCCUUCUGCUUUUUUUUAUGGAUUCUUUUUCCCAGCAGCAACUUUUGCUUAGGAGCCAAACAGAGAUAAAAUGAGGUCCAAAUGACAACCUUGGAGAACCCGGUCACAACUGGUGGCUCAGAGAAUAUUAAGCAAGAAAAAAUGGAAAGAAUGUAAGAGCCAGAGGAAGGAGUAUAGUAUUGUAUACCUAUUUCUUCUGAAUGGAAAUACUCCGUUAAAGCAUAAGAAGUCAACACAACACAGAAGUCCCAGGAAGCUUCCUAAAACUUAAAAAGGUUCACAGUGGCAUUCUCCAAGACUGUGAAAGCUGGAACAACUACAAGGGAGAAGAGACUGACCAACUCACCUGCCUAGAAGUUAAAAUCCAAAGCUCCAAAUUUCAUUAACCGUCACCCAGUUUGGGAUGGGCUUUUUGGUGAUUCAAAUAACUUUGGGUCACCCAUGCCCACUAAGUCACCCCUGUUAUACUUCUGUAAGUAACCCGAAUAAACUUACUGCUUCACUGA